CUUCUACUCCCUCCGUCCGGAAAUACUUGUCAUACAUCCGGAAAUACUUGUCAUCAAAAUGGAUGUAUGACAAGUAUUUCCGGACGGAGGGAGUACAAA
rnacentral:pre_miRNA from 1 species